rnacentral:rRNA from 1 species
UCAUCUCCGGGGGUAGAGCACUGUUUCGGCAAGGGGGUCAUCCCGACUUACCAACCCGAUGCAAACUGCGAAUACCGGAGAAUGUUAUCACGGGAGACACACGGCGGGUGCUAACGUCCGUCGUGAAGAGGGAAACAACCCAGACCGCCAGCUAAGGUCCCAAAGUCAUGGUUAAGUGGGAAACGAUGUGGGAAGGCCCAGACAGCCAGGAUGUUGGCUUAGAAGCAGCCAUCAUUUAAAGAAAGCGUAAUAGCUCACUGGUCGAGUCGGCCUGCGCGGAAGAUGUAACGGGGCUAAACCAUGCACCGAAGCUGCGGCAGCGACGCUUAUGCGUUGUUGGGUAGGGGAGCGUUCUGUAAGCCUGUGAAGGUGUGCUGUGAGGCAUGCUGGAGGUAUCAGAAGUGCGAAUGCUGACAUAAGUAACGAUAAAGCGGGUGAAAAGCCCGCUCGCCGGAAGACCAAGGGUUCCUGUCCAACGUUAAUCGGGGCAGGGUGAGUCGACCCCUAAGGCGAGGCCGAAAGGCGUAGUCGAUGGGAAACAGGUUAAUAUUCCUGUACUUGGUGUUACUGCGAAGGGGGGACGGAGAAGGCUAUGUUGGCCGGGCGACGGUUGUCCCGGUUUAAGCGUGUAGGCUGGUUUUCCAGGCAAAUCCGGAAAAUCAAGGCUGAGGCGUGAUGACGAGGCACUACGGUGCUGAAGCAACAAAUGCCCUGCUUCCAGGAAAAGCCUCUAAGCAUCAGGUAACAUCAAAUCGUACCCCAAACCGACACAGGUGGUCAGGUAGAGAAUACCAAGGCGCUUGAGAGAACUCGGGUGAAGGAACUAGGCAAAAUGGUGCCGUAACUUCGGGAGAAGGCACGCUGAUAUGUAGGUGAGGUCCCUCGCGGAUGGAGCUGAAAUCAGUCGAAGAUACCAGCUGGCUGCAACUGUUUAUUAAAAACACAGCACUGUGCAAACACGAAAGUGGACGUAUACGGUGUGACGCCUGCCCGGUGCCGGAAGGUUAAUUGAUGGGGUUAGCGCAAGCGAAGCUCUUGAUCGAAGCCCCGGUAAACGGCGGCCGUAACUAUAACGGUCCUAAGGUAGCGAAAUUCCUUGUCGGGUAAGUUCCGACCUGCACGAAUGGCGUAAUGAUGGCCAGGCUGUCUCCACCCGAGACUCAGUGAAAUUGAACUCGCUGUGAAGAUGCAGUGUACCCGCGGCAAGACGGAAAGACCCCGUGAACCUUUACUAUAGCUUGACACUGAACAUUGAGCCUUGAUG